GGCCUUUGUAUAUUACUCAUCCCAUGCUAUAAUUUUUGGACUUAGGAUCUGUUCAAGCAAAUAUUAUAAAAAAUUUAAUCAAUUAUUUUAUUAAUCAACUUUUCUGUAUUCUCAUAUUUCUAUAGAUAGAUACAUUAUUUUUUUAUUAAUAGUAUUUAACUAUGAAAUGAGAGUGUCACGUUUCGAAUCCAACAUUCGGAUCGGAUACGUGAUGGCCGCACACUCCUUAGAGCAAGUCCUAAAGAACAUGCAAGAUCAAAAAUAAUUCAUUACAACCUCAACAUCUAUAAUAUCUAAUUUCAAUAAUAAUUAGUAAAACUUACAUAAUUACAAAUAAAAUUUUUUCAAUCAUCUGAUCAGGUAUCAUGAUACUUUAUCUAUUCAUCUGUUAAUCCGCAAAUCCAAAACAUAGUCAA
rnacentral:lncRNA from 1 species